AAUUUCAUAUUUUUAAUUAAUCUAUAAGGCAGGCUCUAUUGGUUUUUUCAUUUAUAAUAAUAUUACUAAAAAUGCUAUUGUGAAUAAUUUCAUGUUCUGAAAUACUUUAUAAAUUACUAAAUACUACAGAAUAUUGUAAUAUACUGUUGUUUUAUAUUAUUUGAAUAUGAAGUCGUGGUUGAAAAAAAUUAAAUAAAUAAUUUGGACGGUUUGGGUAGUCAGAGUUAUUGACACAAAAAAUAUCCAACGUACUGUAUUAUAUAAUAUA